CCUACGGGAGGCAGCAGUGGGGAAUUUUGGACAAUGGGCGCAAGCCUGAUCCAGCAAUGCCGCGUGCAGGAUGAAGGCCUUCGGGUUGUAAACUGCUUUUGUACGGAACGAAACGGUCUGCUUUAAUACAGUGGGCUAAUGACGGUACCGUAAGAAUAAGCACCGGCUAACUACGUGCCAGCAGCCGCGGUAAUACGUAGGGUGCGAGCGUUAAUCGGAAUUACUGGGCGUAAAGCGUGCGCAGGCGGUUAUAUAAGACAGAUGUGAAAUCCCCGGGCUCAACCUGGGACCUGCAUUUGUGACUGUAUAGCUAGAGUACGGUAGAGGGGGAUGGAAUUCCGCGUGUAGCAGUGAAAUGCGUAGAUAUGCGGAGGAACACCGAUGGCGAAGGCAAUCCCCUGGACCUGUACUGACGCUCAUGCACGAAAGCGUGGGGAGCAAACAGGAUUAGAUACCCUGGUAGUCCACGCCCUAAACGAUGUCAACUGGUUGUUGGGUCUUCACUGACUCAGUAACGAAGCUAACGCGUGAAGUUGACCGCCUGGGGAGUACGGCCGNGAGGUUGAAACGUCGAAAGAUUGACGNGNGAGAGNGCGACGACGACGACGAGGGAGGAGG
rnacentral:rRNA from 1 species